rnacentral:rRNA from 1 species
UGCAGCCUACGGGGCGCAGCAGUCGGGAAUAUUGCGCAAUGGAGGAAACUCUGACGCAGUGACGCCGCGUGCAGGAAGAAGGUUUUCGGAUUGUAAACUGCUUUAGACAGGGAAGAUACAAGACAGUACCUGUAAAAUAAGCUCCGGCUGACUACGUGCCAGCAGCCGCGGUAAUACGUAGGGAGCAAGCGUUAUCCGGAUUUAUUGGGGGUAAAGGGUGCGAAGACGGGAAGGCAAGUUGGUUGUGAAAUCCCUCGGCUUAACUGAGGAACUGCAACCAAAACUAUCUUUCUUGAGUGCUGGAG